UACGGAGGGUGCAAGCGUUAUCCGGAUUCACUGGGUUUAAAGGGUGCGCAGGCGGGCAGGUAAGUCAGUGGUGAAAUCUCCGAGCUUAACUCGGAAACUGCCAUUGAUACUAUUUGUCUUGAAUAUUGUGGAGGUAAGCGGAAUAUGUCAUGUAGCGGUGAAAUGCUUAGAUAUGACAUAGAACACCAAUUGCGAAGGCAGCUUACUACACAAUGAUUGACGCUGAGGCACGAAAGCGUGGGGAUCAAACAGG
rnacentral:rRNA from 1 species